rnacentral:ribozyme from 1 species
CUUUUUGUUCUCUUCCACUGUAUAUGUCUGUUCAUUGUUUUGUCUUGUCUCGUGACGCUUUUGUGUCGUGGAAAGAAACGAAGGAGAAAUCUUGGAUGUGCUGCAGCAAAACUGUCAUCCCGAGAAGAAAAGUGAAAUGAAAGCAAAUCUUCUUUUUGUAA